rnacentral:ncRNA from 1 species
UUGUAUCGGCUAAAUCCUUGGCCUUUUAACUAGCGAUAGUUAUCAAUAAUUCAUUUAAUUGCUGGAACCUCUCAUAUGAGACAAUCAGCAGGGAAGACUACUCGUAGUAACCUCCAACGACCAACCGUUAUCGGUGUAGAUUCUAAGUAGAGUCGAAACAGUGAAAACCUCUAAGGAGGUUAUGAUAUGGUCUAGCCCUAUAGUGAUAUAGGU